rnacentral:rRNA from 1 species
UACGUAGGCAGCAAGCGUUGUUCGGAAUUACUGGGCGUAAAGAGUGUGUAGGCGGUGUCGUAAGUUUGGCGUGAAAUCUCCCGGCUUAACUGGGAGGGUGCGCCGAAGACUGCGAUGCUUGAGGAUUGGAGAGGAAAGUGGAAUUUCUGGUGUAGCGGUGAAAUGCGUAGAUAUCAGAAGGAACACCUGUGGUGUAGACGGCUUUCUGGACAAUUCCUGACGCUGAGACACGAAAGCGUGGGUAGCAAACGGG